rnacentral:rRNA from 1 species
CCUACGGGAGGCUGCAGUAGGGAAUCUUCGGCAAUGGGGGCAACCCUGACCGAGCAACGCCGCGUGAAGGAAGAAGGUUUUCGGAUCGUAAAGCGCUGUUGUAAGUCAAGAACGAGUGUUAGAGUGGAAAGGUCACACUGUGACGGUAGCUUACCAGAAAGAGACGGCUAACUACGUGCCAGCAGCCGCGGUAAUACGUAGGUCCCGAGCGUUGUCCGGAUUUAUUGGGCGUAAAGCGAGCGCAGGCGGUUUGAUAAGUCUGAAGUUAAAGGCUGUGGCUCAACCAUAGUUCGCUUUGGAAACUGUCAAACUUGAGUGCAGAAGGGGAGAGUGGAAUUCCACGUGUAGCGGUGAAAUGCGUAGAUAUAUGGAGGAACACCGGUGGCGAAAGCGGUUCUCUGGUCUGUAACUGACGCUGAGGCUCGAAAGCGUGGGGAGCGAACAGGAUUAGAUACCCUGGUAGUC